CCUACGGGAGGCAGCAGUGAGGAAUAUUGGUCAAUGGACGCAAGUCUGAACCAGCCAUGCCGCGUGCAGGAAGACGGCUCUAUGAGUUGUAAACUGCGUUUGUACGAGGGUAAACUCAGAUACGCGUAUCUGUCUGAAAGUAUCGUACGAAUAAGGAUCGGCUAACUCCGUGCCAGCAGCCGCGGUAAUACGGAGGAUUCAAGCGUUAUCCGGAUUUAUUGGGCUUAAAGGGUGCGUAGGCGGUCGGAUAAGUUAGGGGUGAAAUCCCGAGGCUCAACUUCGGAAUUGCCUCUGAUACUGUUAGGCUAGAGAGUAGGUGCGGUAGGCGGAAUGUAUGGUGUAGCAGUGAAAUGCUUAGAGAUCAUACAGAACACCGAUUGCGAAGGCAGCUAACCAAGCUACUUCUGACGUUGAGGAACGAAAGCGUGGGGAGCAAACAGGAUUAGAUACCCCGGUAGUC
rnacentral:rRNA from 1 species